rnacentral:rRNA from 1 species
GACGAACGCUGGCGGCGUGCUUAACACAUGCAAGUCGAACGGAAAGUCCCUGCUUUUGUGGGCUUCUCUAGUUGCGAACUGGUUAGUAACACUUGAGUUACCUGCCCUUGACUUUGUGAUAUCUUCAUGAAACUUGUGCUAAUACCGGAUAGGAUCUCCUGCUUCUUGUUGGGGUUUGGUUAGUUUCGGCGGUUGGUGAUGGACUCGCUGCUUAUCAGCUUGUUGGUGGGGUAGUGGCUUACCAAGGCUUUGACCGGUAGCAGGCCUGAGAGGGUGACAGGACAAAUUGGGACUGAGAUAAGGCACAGACUACAAAGGGAGGCAGAAGAGGGGAAGAGAACACAAUGGGCGGAAGCAAGAUGAAGAAAAGCAGCGUGCGGGAUGAAGGGAUGGGGGUUGUAAACCGAAGUAGAAUGAGACGAAGAGAGAGUGACGGUAAUGGGUAAAGAAGCACCGGCUAACUACGUG